UACGUAGGCAGCGAGCGUUGUUCGGAGUUACUGGGCGUAAAGGGUGCGUAGGCGGCCUCUUAAGUUUGGUGUGAAAUCUCCCGGCUUAACCGGGAGGGUGCGCCGGAUACUGAAAGGCUAGAGUGCGGGAGAGGAAAGUGGAAUUCCUGGUGUAGCGGUGAAAUGCGUAGAUAUCAGGAGGAACACCUGCGGUGUAAACGGCUUUCUGGACCGUAACUGACGCUGAGGCACGAAAGCGUGGGUAGCAAACAGG
rnacentral:rRNA from 1 species